rnacentral:rRNA from 1 species
UACGGGGGGUGCAAGCGUUAUCCGGAAUCACUGGGCGUAAAGCGUCUGUAGGCGGCCUUGCAAGUCACGUGUGAAAGCCCCGGGCUCAACCGUGGGAGGGCCAUGGAAACUGUAAGGCUUGAGUGUGGGAGAGGAGGGGGGAAUUCCCUGUGUAGCGGUGAAAUGCGUAGAUACAGGGAAGAACACCGGUGGCGAAAGCGUUCCUCUGGAAGGCAACUGACGAUGAGAGGCGAAAGCGAGGGGAGCGAACAGG